rnacentral:rRNA from 1 species
GACGAACGCUGGCGGCGUGCUUAACACAUGCAAGUCGAACGGAAAGGCCCUGCUUUUGUGGGGUGCUCGAGUGGCGAACGGGUGAGUAACACGUGAGUAACCUGCCCUUGACUUUGGGAUAACUUCAGGAAACUGGGGCUAAUACCGGAUAGGAGCUCCUGCUGCAUGGUGGGGGUUGGAAAGUUUCGGCGGUUGGGGAUGGACUCGCGGCUUAUCAGCUUGUUGGUGGGGUAGUGGCUUACCAAGGCUUUGACGGGUAGCCGGCCUGAGAGGGUGACCGGCCACAUUGGGACUGAGAUACGGCCCAGACUCCUACGGGAGGCAGCAGUGGGGAAUAUUGCACAAUGGGCGGGAGCCUGAUGCAGCAACGCCGCGUGCUGGAUGACGGCCUUCGGGUUGUGAACCGCUUUCGCCUGUGACGAAGCGUGAGUGACGGUAAUGGGUAAAGAAGCACCGGCUAACUACGUG